AAGCCCAUUGGAAAAUGGCGCCAUGGAGGGUGAUAGCCCCGUAAAAGUAUCCCUUUUCCUUUUAUCCAUUCCCUCCAAAGAGUCGAGUUGUUUGGGAAUGCAGCUCUAAGUGGGUGGUAAAUUCCAUCUAAAGCUAAAUAUUGGCGAGAGACCGAUAGCGAACAAGUACAGUGAUGGAAAGAUGAAAAGCACUUUGAAAAGAGAGUGAAAAAGUACGUGAAAUUGUUGAAAGGGAAGGGCUUGCAAGCAGACACAACCUCGGUUGGGCCAGCAUCGGAGUGGGGGGAGACAAAAAAGAAAAGGAAUGUAACUC
rnacentral:rRNA from 1 species